rnacentral:rRNA from 1 species
AGAGUUUGAUCCUGGCUCAGAUUGAACGCUGGCGGCAGGCCUAACACAUGCAAGUCGAGCGGAUGANGGGAGCUUGCUCCUUGAUUCAGCGGCGGACGGGUGAGUAAUGCCUAGGAAUCUGCCUGGUAGUGGGGGACAACGUUUCGAAAGGAACGCUAAUACCGCAUACGUCCUACGGGAGAAAGCAGGGGACCUUCGGGCCUUGCGCUAUCAGAUGAGCCUAGGUCGGAUUAGCUAGUUGGUGGGGUAAUGGCUCACCAAGGCGACGAUCCGUAACUGGUCUGAGAGGAUGAUCAGUCACACUGGAACUGAGACACGGUCCAGACUCCUACGGGAGGCAGCAGUGGGGAAUAUUGGACAAUGGGCGAAAGCCUGAUCCAGCCAUGCCGCGUGUGUGAAGAAGGUCUUCGGAUUGUAAAGCACUUUAAGUUGGGAGGAAGGGCAGUAAGUUAAUACCUUGCUGUUUUGACGUUACCNACAGAAUAAGCACG